rnacentral:rRNA from 1 species
UGCCCAGUACGGCGAGUGAGCGGCAAGAGCUCAAAUUUGAAAGCUGGCUCCUUCGGGGUCCGCAUUGUAAUUUGUAGAGGAUGCUUCGGGAGCGGUCCCCAUCUAAGUGCCCUGGAACGGGACGUCAUAGAGGGUGAGAAUCCCGUAUGGGAUGGGGUGUCCGCGCCCGUGUGAAGCUCCUUCGACGAGUCGAGUUGUUUGGGAAUGCAGCUCUAAAUGGGUGGUAAAUUUCAUCUAAAGCUAAAUAUUGGCCGGAGACCGAUAGCGCACAAGUAGAGUGAUCGAAAGAUGAAAAGCACUUUGAAAAGAGAGUUAAAAAGCACGUGAAAUUGUUGAAAGGGAAGCGCUUGCGACCAGACUCGCUCGCGGGGUUCAGCCGGCAUUCGUGCCGGUGUACUUCCCCGCGGGCGGGCCAGCGUCGGUUUGGGCGGUCGGUCAAAGGCCCUCGGAAGGUAACGCCCCUAGGGGCGUCUUAUAGCCGAGGGUGCAAUGCGACCUGCCUAGACCGAGGAACGCGCUUCGGCUCGGACGCUGGCAUAAUGGUCGUAAACGACCCGUCUUGAAACACGGACCAAGGAGUCUAACAUCUACGCGAGUGUUCGGGUGUCAAACCCGUGCGCGAAGUGAAAGCGAACGGAGGUGGGAACCCUCACGGGUGCACCAUCGACCGAUCCUGAAGUCUUCGGAUGGAUUUGAGUAAGAGCGUAGCUGUUGGGACCCGAAAGAUGGUGAACUAUGCCUGAAUAGGGCGAAGCCAGAGGAAACUCUGGUGGAGGCUCGUAGCGGUUCUGACGUGCAAAUCGAUCGUCGAAUUUGGGUAUAG